rnacentral:lncRNA from 1 species
UUUAUAUCAAUUAUAUAAAUCAAAACACAAAGGUUAUUCCUGAUUAAUUUUUCGAAUUGUUUUAUAAUUAAAGGCGUUAAGAAACCUUUGGUGGUCCCACCGUUUAAAUGUCUAUCGUAGGUACGUCGUGAACAGUGGUCGUUACAGACAAACGUUCACGUAAAUUGUCCCAGUCAAUGGAUGAUUUUGAUGUGUCAAUCAAUGGCCAC